rnacentral:misc_RNA from 1 species
UCUCCGUUGGUGAACCAGCGGAGGGAUCAUUACAGGACUCGCAAGACUCCUACACCCCUGUGAACUUAACUAUAAGCACGUUGCUUCGGCGGGUGUCUCGGGGGGGGUUCUCCCUCCCCGAGACGCUAAACCCGCCGGCAGCCUACUAUACUCUGUCUCUUUGCGUUGGCAUCUCGAGUACAAUCAAACAAGUUAAAACUUUCAACAACGGAUCUCUUGGUUCUG